rnacentral:rRNA from 1 species
AUUGAACGCUGGCGGCAUGCCUUACACAUGCAAGUCGAACGGCAGCACGGGAGCAAUCCUGGUGGCGAGUGGCGAACGGGUGAGUAAUAUAUCGGAACGUGCCCAGUCGUGGGGGAUAACGUAGCGAAAGCUACGCUAAUACCGCAUACGAUCUGUGAAUGAAAGCGGGGGAUCGCAAGACCUCGCGCGAUUGGAGCGGCCGAUAUCAGAUUAGGUAGUUGGUGGGGUAAAGGCUCACCAAGCCGACGAUCUGUAGCUGGUCUGAGAGGACGACCAGCCACACUGGGACUGAGACACGGCCCAGACUCCUACGGGAGGCAGCAGUGGGGAAUUUUGGACAAUGGGCGCAAGCCUGAUCCAGCAAUGCCGCGUGCAGGAUGAAGGCCUUCGGGUUGUAAACUGCUUUUGUACGGAACGAAACGGCGAGCUCUAAUACAGUUCGCUAAUGACGGUACCGUAAGAAUAAGCACCGGCUAACUACGUGCCAGCCGCCGCCGUAA